rnacentral:tRNA from 1 species
GCGAGUGUAGCUCAAUGGUAGAGCCUCAGUUUUCCAAACUGAUGACGCGGGUUCGAUUCCCGUCACUCGCU